UGGCAAUUAGCCGGAUCAAAUUAGGUACGGAUCAAAUGAGAAAUUCAUUGAUCCUAUCCAGACAUAUUUAUUAAAUAGAUUAAAAAUUUAGAUUUGAACCUAGCUUAUUUAUUAAAUAAGACACGAUUCAUAUAACAUGUUUAUUAAACUUGUCAAUCCAAGGUAAACAGGUUAAACAAAUUAAAUCGGUCUUGAUGGAUUAAAUAGAUUUAAGUGGAGUAAAUAGGUUAAACAAAUCGGAUUAAAUAAGACAUAAAUUGUUUAAGUAGGUUCAAAACAGAUUAAAUAG
rnacentral:lncRNA from 1 species